rnacentral:rRNA from 1 species
CAGUAGCCGCGGUAAUACGGAGGAUCCAAGCGUUAUCCGGAUUUAUUGGGUUUAAAGGGUGCGUAGGCGGCUCAUUAAGUCAGGGGUGAAAGACGGUAGCUUAACUAUCGCAGUGCCUUUGAUACUGAUGAGCUUGAAUGUAGUUGAGGUAGGCGGAAUGUGACAAGUAGCGGUGAAAUGCAUAGAUAUGUCACAGAACACCAAUUGCGAAGGCAGCUUACUAAAGUAUGAUUGACGCUGAGGCACGAAAGCGUGGGGAUCAAACAGGAUUAGAUACCCGCGUAUCCCUGUCUCUUAUACA